rnacentral:piRNA from 1 species
UCUUUAGUCCUAGAGGGAAAUAAGUGC